rnacentral:rRNA from 1 species
UACGUAGGGUGCAAGCGUUGUCCGGAAUUAUUGGGCGUAAAGAGCUCGUAGGCGGUUUGUCGCGUCGACUGUGAAAACCUACAGCUUAACUGUGGGCUUGCAGUCGAUACGGGCAGACUUGAGUUCGGUAGGGGAGACUGGAAUUCCUGGUGUAGCGGUGAAAUGCGCAGAUAUCUGGAAGAACACCAGUGGCGAAGGCGGCUCUCUGGGACGGUACUGACGCUGAGACGCGAAAGCGUGGGGAGCGAACAGG